rnacentral:rRNA from 1 species
GAUGAACGCUGGCGGCGUGCCUAAUACAUGCAAGUCGAGCGAACGGACGAGAAGCUUGCUUCUCUGAUGUUAGCGGCGGACGGGUGAGUAACACGUGGAUAACCUACCUAUAAGACUGGGAUAACUUCGGGAAACCGGAGCUAAUACCGGAUAAUAUUUUGAACCGCAUGGUUCAAAAGUGAAAGACGGUCUUGCUGUCACUUAUAGAUGGAUCCGCGCUGCAUUAGCUAGUUGGUAAGGUAACGGCUUACCAAGGCAACGAUGCAUAGCCGACCUGAGAGGGUGGUCGGCCACACUGGAACUGAAACACGGUCCAGACUCCUACGGGAGGCAGCAGUAGGGAAUCUUCCGCAAUGGGCGAAAGCCUGACGGAGCAACGCCGCGUGAGGGAUGAAAGUCUUCGGAUCGUAAAACUCUGUUAUUAGGGAAGAACAUAUGUGUAAGUAACUGUGCACAUCUUGACGGUACCUAAUCAGAAAGCCACGGCUAACUACGUG